ACCGGUGCUAAAUCUAUUGUAAAAUAAUAAAAAAAACCCCGGAUAUACUAGCUCUUUCUUUCUCUUACUUUCAUUUCCUCGAUCUUUCCUCCUUCUCAUCUGAUCUGCCUCUCUCUCUCUCCUCCAUUGAAGCGUACUCCAAUUUCUCCAUUGAAGGGGCUUUUGAGCUUUCUCUAAGCACUUUCCUCAAACUCCUUCUCUCUCCUUCGAUCUCCUUCUCCAUAACCGCCACUUUCCCUUUCCUUUUUUCUCUCUUUCGAUCUCCUUCUCCUUCUCUCUUUCUAUAAUACUCGUGGUUAGGGUUUCAGGGUUCGUCUAUUUUGAAUUAAAUCGAUGUGCAUGCGUCUUCAACAACAAUAAAUUCGAAUCAAUUUCAAACCAAAAAUCAAAAAUUCGAGAUUUGCAGCUUCCAAGUGUAGGAAUCGGUUCACAUUUCAUUACUUUCACUCAUGUAACGAUGGAAUCAGACAAGUACAUUUGUGUGAGAGAGACCUCACCUUAGAACAACGUUGUUAUUAUUGACAUGAACAUGCCUAAUCAACCUUUGAGGCGUCCCAUCACGGCUGAUUCUGCUUUGAUGACCCUAACUUGAGAAUUCUUGCUCUUAAAGAUUGAAGUUGUUAUUAGUCUACUUCCUUCGAGCUGCCAUGUUGCAAUAGCGAAAGCUUGUAUUGAGUCAAUUGCAUGUACUGGGGAUAAAGUUUUCCUAGGUUGCUGACCACCAAGCAGCUUCAAGAUUUAAAGAGCCAAAGAUGUCCACUUGUUGGUAUUGUCGAUAUCACAUGUGACAUAGGAUGAUCCAUUGAGUUUGUUAACCAAGCCACUACCAUUGACUCACCUUUUUUUAGGUUUAAUCCACUAAAAGAACCAUACCAUUAUGACAUGGAGGGUACUGGUGUAAUAUGCUCAGUUGUCGACAUCCUCGCUCCCUACUGAGUUUGCCAAAGAGACAUGCAGGAAAUUGUCAAAGAUGGAUUUAGAAGGGAAGCGCGAGAGGAGGAGAAGCUGGACAGGUUAAUUGAGCAAAAGGAAAAGUAGAAGAAAGAAGCAAAGAGAAGGGUAAUUGAAGAAGCAGAAAGGGCCAAGGCCAGUGCAAAAGCUGUAGUUGCUUCUUUACUUCCUUCUAAGUUGUUUGGAAACAAAGAAGACAGUAAAGAGCCUGCAGCGUUUUCUGGAAUUACUGAUACGGUGUCAAAUGAUGAAACACAAGCCAGUGGGAAUUGCUACUGCCUCUUAUCUUUGAUUAUUGUGUAGGUUUUUUUAUUUUUUUUCCAGUUUUUUAAAGUGUAAUAUUACAAGUUAUUGAAGAAAAUAUAUGUGUUUU